CUCUUCAGUGUCGGAGGAAGUGCAGGACU
rnacentral:SRP_RNA from 1 species